GACGAACGCUGGCGGCGUGCCUAAUACAUGCAAGUUGAGCGCUGAAGGUUGGUACUUGUACCAACUGGAUGAGCAGCGGACGGGUGAGUAACGCGUGGGGAAUCUGCCUUUGAGCGGGGGACAACAUUUGGAAACGAAUGCUAAUACCGCAUAAAAACUUUAAACACAAGUUUUAAGUUUGAAAGAUGCAAUUGCAUCACUCAAAGAUGAUCCCGCGUUGUAUUAGCUAGUUGGCGAGGUAAAGGCUCACCAAGGCGAUGAUACAUAGCCGACCUGAGAGGGUGAUCGGCCACAUUGGGACUGAGACACGGCCCAAACUCCUACGGGAGGCAGCAGUAGGGAAUCUUCGGCAAUGGACGAAAGUCUGACCGAGCAACGCCGCGUGAGUGAAGAAGGGUUUCGGAUCGUAAAACUCUGUUGGUAGAGAAGAACGUUGGUGAGAGUGGAAAGCUCAUCAAGUGGCGGUAACUACCCAGAAAGGGACGGCUAACUACGUG
rnacentral:rRNA from 1 species